rnacentral:rRNA from 1 species
AUUGAACGCUGGCGGCAUGCUUUACACAUGCCAGUCGAACGGCAGCGCGGGCUUCGGCCUGGCGGCGAGUGGCGAACGGGUGAGUAAUGCAUCGGAACGUGCCCAGUAGUGGGGGAUAGCCCGGCGAAAGCCGGAUUAAUACCGCAUACGACCUGAGGGUGAAAGCGGGGGACCGAAAGGCCUCGCGCUAUUGGAGCGGCCGAUGUCGGAUUAGCUAGUUGGUGGGGUAAAGGCUUACCAAGGCGACGAUCCGUAGCUGGUCUGAGAGGACGACCAGCCACACUGGGACUGAGACACGGACCAGACUCCUACGGGAGGCAGCAGUGGGGAAUUUUGGACAAUGGGGGCAACCCUGAUCCAGCCAUGCCGCGUGCGGGAAGAAGGCCUUCGGGUUGUAAACCGCUUUUGUUCGGGAAGAAAUCCUCUGGGCUAAUACCCCGGGGGGAUGACGGUACCGGAAGAAUAAGCACCGGCUAACUACGUG